rnacentral:tRNA from 1 species
GCCGGGGUAGCUCAGCUGGUAGAGCAACUGAUUCGUAAUCAGUAGGUCGGGUGUUCGAAUCACCUCUCCGGCACCA